GGGGGACGGCAGGGGGGACUCCGGCUCCAGGCCACCGCAGGGCGGCCCUGCCCAGGACUUGUGCGCGGCCUGGCCCAGGCGGCCCGCACUGCUCCGGCUUUGAGAGCGUCCUCGCGCACCCGGGGACCCUGCCCACCCAGAAGAGGCGGAGGGCCAGGUGGUACUGGUGGAGCGCCCUGCAGGGGCUGGGCUGUGGUGGGUCCCGGCCUUUGGGAAGUGGGGCCCUAGCCUGGAGCCCUGCACUGGGGUCCCCUUGCCUUCUCAUGGGGAAGGCGCCUGGCCUGCACACACCGGGCCACCCUGUGAAAGCAGCUGUGCCCACACAGGCUCUGCUGGUGGGUCCUUGUGAAUGGGCCUCUGUGCUGGGCAUGGGGGUGGCUGAGGGUGUGCCUGCGUAUGACAGCCCUGCAGCUCCGGGUGCCCCCCCAGUGUAUGUUCAUGUUUUGGGGGUGUGCGUGGGGUUUGCUGUCUACAGCGCAGGGGGACUCCCCAGGACUGGCUCUGGAGGGGGGCUUACCUACUGCUCACCAGUUCCAAGAGCUGCCCAAAUUGGGGUGCCUGUCCUCCUCCUGUGCUGCCUUCUUUUCCUGUAAGGACUCUCCAAAAGGCAAGAGCACUAGGAUUUACACAAAGCCUGGUGAGUCUGCCCCACCCACCGCUGGAACCGCCAGCCAGGGCCCACGGAAGCCUGAAGUGGGUGGGGGAGUCCCCUCACUCUGUCCUUUGCCAGUUGAGCUUCAUGUUGUCGAAUACCCACACCCAGGCAUGGGGGACAGCAGGACCAAGCCCAGGCCAUCCUAACCUCAGGGGCUGCAGCCACUCUGUGACACCUGAACCCAACCCAUGAAGCCACAGGGGCACUUCAGGCAUUGCAUUGGUCUAGUACCAGUUCAAGGCCAGGGUAGAUGGCACUGGGCGUUUUGAGAAGAAGAAAGGUCUGUGAGGGAGAGUGAAGGCUUCCUGGAGGAAGUGAACCUGAGCUGGGCCCUGUAGGAUGGGCGUGAUGGGGACUGGCGGAUGGCAGGUGGAGGCACUGCAGGCAAAGGAAAGGCAGGUGUGGAGAGUGAGUGGGGGGCUGGAGGAGAGCAGGUCCCCUCUCCAGGUUCCCGGCAGCCACCUUCGUGGCCUGGACCCACCCACCAUGGCCCAGUGUCUCCCUGAGGCAGGGAUAGAGGUGCGGCAUCCUGGACCACAAGCCCUCGGCCACCUUUCAGCACCUGAAUAGGCAUCGACAGCCAGGAGCACAACCAGGGUCCAAAGAAAACCAGGCGCAGGUAGAACCUUCAGACAGGUCUUCGUCCUGACCUCUGGGGGUACCCCGAAGAGUCAGGGGCCAGGAUCCCCCAGAGUAUUGCUGGGUCCUGAGGGCACAGCUUCAAUCAGGUAUUCUAGCCAUCCCCUCAGCAUUGCCCUGCUGGCCCUGGAUUCUGACAGCCAGCCCCAGCAGGCCCAUAAACUUGACCCACUGUUGUCCAAAGCCAAGGCUCCUCCUCCGGGAGGCGGGGAGGGGGAGUGGCUUUGGGCGUGGGCAGGACCAGGGCGCCGUGCUUGGUACGGCAGGAUUCACCCCUCCUUCCUCCAGUCCUUCCUCCCACUCCUGGGACUGCCAUCUCCCUUAGCUGCCCCUAACUGGUCUCCCUUAUCUCCUUUCUUUUGGGGUCCCGAGGCUGACCCCACCAUCCCCAGCUGCCUCGGCUCCUCCGCGUCCCCAUCCUCCUCCCCGGGCCUGCAAAUCCCUCGUGCCUCAUUCUUUCCAGCUCCCCACCCAAGCACCCUCCGGGCCUUGCUCCAUUCCCCACAUUUUCCUCUCCCUGUCCUCAUGAGCCGGACCCAUGCCCCUCUUUCGGAAAGCUGUCCCCUCCUGCCCUCACUUUCUCGCAUAGAGACAAAGGCGCCCAGUCCCAGAAAUAGACGCACCCAGAAAUGCACGGCACAGGCCGCGUCCUGCCCGCACGCACGCGCGUGAAGGCACAGCGGCGGCACGCGUGGAGGGGGCACACAGACCCGCGUCUGUCUGUGCACGCACAUAAACAUCCACACCCACGGCCUCCGCGCCGGGCCACAAAAGGGUUCGGACACGCGGCGGCGGGCGCGCGAGACAAGGGCGCGCCGCCCUCCCUCCCAGGCACACCCACCGCGCCCCGGGGCCAGAGCAAGGCCUCCCUCCCCCGGGCAGCUCGGCUCCCCCCAGAUUCCUCCCCGCAAAUGUUUCCCUACUUGGCCUGCCAGGUCUCUGGGGAAAGGGCCUCCGAAAUGCAUCGGGAGCCACUUGGGGGAAGGAAGUUGGAACUGGCUGUUCCCUGCCUGGCUCUGCCGGCAGAUUCCCCUAACCGAGAAACUAUUUGUGGCGAGGCAGCCGGAGUGGCCGGCGAGCCCCCGCCGCCACCUCCUCGCGCCCCCUCCCGCCUCGCC
ensembl:lncRNA